rnacentral:snoRNA from 1 species
UUUCACAGGUCAGUCAGCUGUACGGUUCUGGUUUUAAACGUCAACCGAAUAGCGUUACACCUGUGAUAGAGCAAUAAAUGCGGCUGUGCCACGCCCCCUGCCCACCUGUGGUCACUGUUCUAGUGAUCACGCCGGACAAUCCGGGGCGUGGCACUUGGUCGGGCGCCCUUCCCUAGAGAGUUGAAUUACCUGGGAGG